rnacentral:tRNA from 1 species
GGAGGGAUGGCCGAGUGGUUGAUGGCGCUGGUCUUGAAAACCAGUGAUGCCGAAAGGCACCGGGGGUUCGAAUCCCUUUCCCUCCGCCA